rnacentral:lncRNA from 1 species
UUACAAAAUAUUGAGAACCCAUAAUUCAAGACAUCAUGCCAUAUGCAAAAUAUAUUAUGUGUUAAGUUAUGCAUUAAAGUAUUAAGAGCAAGCAUGUCAAUGAUCAAAAUCAAUUCUUUUCAAAUAAACUCCUCCUAUUUAAAUAUAAUCUUGCACUGAUUUCAUCCUUAAAGUGUGUUUUCAAGUGAUUAAAAAUUUGACUUGAUUCUUCUUAUAUACUUUCAUUUUUACCUUCUUAUGCUCUAUACUCUAUUUGCUCCCUAUCCGGUGGAGUUGGAAGGGGCACGAGGUACUACCACUAGCCUCCCUCCUGUGCCG